AUUUCACUGUCCUAUCUGGGUAGCCAUCAGGACAGGCCAAGGAGUUGUGGCAGACUCUGCGACAAUGGCGUCAGCCUCCGAGCACGGCCAAAGCGUGCGGCCCGAGGUCCUGGGCAUUCUUAAGAAUGUGAGUAAGAUACGAUAGCCCGGUGCCAGCAGGGACCGCUCAGAUGGCGAGGCUGCUUUCUUUUGCACCUGACACAGAUUAGCAUGCCCACCUGUCUGAGAGAUGAGUAGAGGGCUGUGACCUGCAGAGGGGAUGAAAAUGGG